AGUCGCCGACGUUUCUCACGUGGAGUAAAGACGGACGCGAGUGUUGUGUCAUGUUGUCCGUUGGUGAUGUUGUUGAUCACGCUAUUCUCAUUGUUAUAAUAUUAUUGUUUAAGAACUCACGAUGAUCCAUCGGAGCAAUACUUACUAGAUAUGAAAAUAUUAUAAACCUAAUUUAGGGAGGUGCUAAAAUGGUGGCUAAAACUGGAACACGAAUUUAAAGUGGAAGCUGCUGGGCCCCGGCUUUUUGAACUAAGUACGUCUUGCCUUCUGGCUCAAAUGUACAUAUUAUGUUUACAAGAUACUACUGUCCGUAUUGAUAAAUCUUAAGUCGUGACAGAUGCCCCAGUGACCCAUUAUUCACGUGGGUAAGGGUCAGAUGAAUAACUUCAAACGAUGAAUGUCGAUGGUCAUGUCCAAUCAACGUCCGUGACGUCUUGAUCAAUAAAUCGCCCGUACGAUUAAACGAAGAAAAAAACCAAGUGGACGACAAUAAACUGAGGCCUGCGCUUCAGACACGUUACGCGCGUUUACGCGAUGUCUCUGUACACGAUACGAAGGACGGCAAACGAUCAGCGUUUAGGCGGCAUACGUCGAGAACCCACGAGUACAACAAGCGUGACAGACACAACACAAAACGUGAUAUCACGGACGACAGUACACUUGGCGUGACGAAUGGGCCACGAUAUUGUCUUUACACGAUGAAACAAGACGGUCGACGUUCGACCCGCGUUUCGGCGGUGUUUGGAGCGAGCAUUCGACUUAUUGACGCAAGACUCCAAGAGUGCUGUACGCGUUCGUCCCAAGAUCGCGCCACACUAUUGAGUGACCGGAUGAGCGGCAAUCGUAAAAUUCAAUUUAGAUUAAUUUGUUAAUACAUUUUAAUGAAAAAAAAAUUUUCAUAUCACAUUAUCUGCAGAUAAUCAGAUAACAGUUUUAUUUAUCUAUGUAGAAUAAAAAAAAAACAUUUUUAUUUAGAAAAAGCAUAACACUGAUUUUAGAGCACUUAUGCCGGGUUGCAUGAAAAAUUAUUAAUUUAAUGGCCCAAUAAAAUUUAAUGGACCAAUCAUAGGCCCCUAAACCAUGUUUAAGGGAUCAUUAGCUCACUUUUGAUUCGUUAAAUGUUUAGUGAUAGUUUAUGCAACCCGCGGGCAUAAGUGUGUAGAACAAAAUGUAAAGUGUGCAGUUUACAUUUUCUGCAAAGUGUGUUAAACAUAAGGCUUGUCCUCGUUAUUGAAAAUUAGAAUUAUUGGAUAAAACGUCAAGUUGUUCUGGCAAAUAACUACUGUCAAUAAACAUUUUUU